rnacentral:rRNA from 1 species
UACGUAGGGUGCAAGCGUUGUCCGGAAUUAUUGGGCGUAAAGAGCUCGUAGGCGGUCUGUCGCGUCGGCUGUGAAAACCCGGGGCUCAACCCCGGGCCUGCAGUCGAUACGGGCAGACUAGAGUGCGGUAGGGGAGACUGGAAUUCCUGGUGUAGCGGUGAAAUGCGCAGAUAUCAGGAGGAACACCGGUGGCGAAGGCGGGUCUCUGGGCCGACACUGACGCUGAGGAGCGAAAGCCAGGGGAGCAAACGGG